ACGAACGCUGGCGGCAUGCCUAACACAUGCAAGUCGAACGAGACCUUCGGGUCUAGUGGCGCACGGGUGCGUAACGCGUGGGAACCUGCCCUUAGGUUCGGAAUAACUCCCCGAAAGGGGUGCUAAUACCGGAUAAUGUCUUCGGACCAAAGAUUUAUCGCCUUUGGAUGGGCCCGCGUUGGAUUAGCUAGUUGGUAGGGUAAAAGCCUACCAAGGCGACGAACCAUAGCUGGUCUGAGAGGAUGAUCAGCCACACUGGGACUGAGACACGGCCCAGACUCCUACGGGAGGCAGCAGUGGGGAAUAUUGGACAAUGGGCGAAAGCCUGAUCCAGCAAUGCCGCGUGAGUGAUGAAGGCCUUAGGGUUGUAAAGCUCUUUUACCCGGGAUGAUAAUGACAGUACCGGGAGAAUAAGCUCCGGCUAACUCCGUG
rnacentral:rRNA from 1 species